rnacentral:lncRNA from 1 species
UCGAAAAUAGGAAUGCAUUUUCAUUUGGAAAUUCGGUGAGUUUGAGAGCGAGCCUCUCCAUGGUGGACACGUUAACAAACUCACAUGCAGUAUCAAUGGAGAGUCUUCGGAGCAUGAGCCAAGGAACAUCACCCUGUCGUUGUUGUUCCUUAGGUUUAGAUGGGUAACUUAAAGAUACAGAUUCCCAAUUUUUGCAAACAAAAGCUACUCGAGCACUAUCAGCAAUGUUCAACCUAUCCUUAAUCAUCCAUAGGAGUAGUGACGGGAUGUGUGACCAUCUUUCUUCUUCGUCAUCUUUUUUCAUGUUGCCAUCAUCCAUUUUGAGUUUUUUUGCAUUCAACAUGAGAUCAGAUCAACCUAAAGAUGAAGUCAACUCAGUUUAUUAGCUUAGAGGAAAAGCAAAUAAGAAAAUUAAAACUUAAUUUGAAGCAAAGAAACAAAGUUACAAAAAAGGGGUUUUGGGGAUACUUUGCAAGUUAACUCGAUCGGUAGAGUAUAUCUAUUUAUAUUUAUAUAUUUAUAUAGGGUAAAAUUAAUCUAAGACUUCAUGUCUUAAUAGUAUUACACUUCAUAUCCAGUAUCCACAUUAAAAAGAAUUUACCAGCUAUCAAGUAAAACUUCCAAACCGAAAUUGCUCAAAUUCUGCAGACCAAGAAGAAGAGAUGCUGCAGUCCUGUCAGAAACGAAGAUAUAUAAGCAAUAAUAACAAUUUGAAGGAAAUAUUAUGAAAACGAAUUAACAAUUCACAACAAGGGUUUAUAAUUCGACCUUAAUUUUAGAGCUUUAUGUUUGUCGAGAGUUGAGACUAGAAUAAGGAAGAAAUAGAGCAUGAAAGAGAUGGUUGUGAUUUGUGAAUUGUGUGAUUGAGCGACGAAUGGCUUAUUUAUCUGCUUCAUUCGUUUGUUGAUUGACUAUUUCACCCUUAAGGUCGGUAAAAAUCUAGGGGUAAAACAGUAAAACAGGGGACAUCGGUGAUCGGUGAUUCGGUGGAAUAAUGUAAAGAUUAGAGAGGAAGGAAAGGAAGAAAACACGAACGAACCGGUUCUAAUCAACUUCUUUUCUAAACUUAUAGCGAAAUUACUGUUCUGUCCAUAAAAAUUAUUUUCGGAGAAACAGAUUUCCCAAUAAAAAAGUCCUCUAACUUUGCUGGAAUUUUCAUAUUUGUAACAAAAGUUUCAAAUUGGCAAUUUGGUCACAAAAAAUUUAAUUGUAGAAUAGGCAUCCGUCACCUAUGAAUAAAUAACUUUAUUAAAUUUUGAGAUUUUUGGACAUACCCCAUUUGAAAGUCAAAAUUUAAGAUACCCCAAUUUGAAAAAAAAAAUUAAGAUACCCCCAUUUCAAGACAGAUGAGAUUUACAAUUGUAGGUUAGUUUCAUGAUGAAUGGCUAAGAUAACAUCACGUCUUGAAAUUAGGGAUAUCUCAAAAAAUAAAAAAAAUUAAAUUGGGGUAUCUCAAAUUUCGACUUUCAAACAAGGGUAUGUCCAAAAAUCUCUUAAAUUUUUACCUAUGAGAACCACUUAUAAAUGUUUUAUUUUCCAAUUUUUAAUGUGUUACUUAGAAUGUCUCCAAGAAGAUUUUAGCAUUUACCUGUCUCCAGGAGAUUUUAGCAUUUACCCGCAUAAUAAGGCAGUUACCCCCAACUGGACGGAAAACAUAGACGACAUAAUAAAAAUUAGUUUUUUUUUUUUUUCAAAUCAAAAACAAAUUUUAUUGAUAAGCUCAACAAAUUACACAAAUUUUUUAAUUAAAUUAAAUAUUUUUUCUUUUUUGCAGUCACUGCAUAUAACUAUGAAAGGCAUGGGAACCAGGGACACAGACCUUGUAAGGAUAGUUGUGACCAGAACCGAAAUUGAUAUGCAGUAUAAAAAGGCUGAGUACCGAAAGAACUACAGGAAGACAUUGCAUGAUGCAAUCAAAGCUGAGACAUCAGGCAAUUACAGAACUUUCCUUCUUUCUCUUGUAGGUCCAUAUUAGGCAGACAUUUGAUUAGUGUGUAAUGAUGCAAAAUAAUGUCCGUAAAUCAUUUUAGUUGUGUUUAAAGACAAUAGAAAGACGACGAUGUAGUAUGUACUUGCAGCAUCUGUACUUGAAUUUCUAUGGUAUGCUUGUAGAAGAGCCUGUUUAACUUUUGAUGGUUCUGCACUUAAUCUGUGUGCUUCCAUUUUAAUCAGAUUGGUUAUUGCUUUUGAAAAUGACCUUUAAAUGAUGCAUUUAUGUAAAGCUAGUAAAGCAGCUUGUUAGCAAGGGCCCAAGGGGGAGAGAGUUUUUCACUAAUGUCAUCUUGCAGCUUUUUCACUCAACUAAUAAGAAAGUUACAUUGAUGUUACUUGAAGGUCUUCUCGAAACGGCGUGAUCCCCAACUAAAAAAAAAAAAAAAAAGUGAUCGCAAACUAUAAGCAUUAUGCUAAAUUAUUGCAUAGGAUACUUAAAUGCUAUUCUAUUCACAAUGUAAGAACUCGAUAGGAUUUACUUCAACUAUUUUACUUUUAUAAACUCCUUAUUAGAAUAUAAGCUGGUCAGCUGGAUGAUAAUGCGAGAACCUGAAUUGGUCAAUAUUGAUGAGAAGGGACAUAACGCACACAAGAAGGUGGUAGCUUAUCCAUCCAACCCAAAUCAACCCACACACCAUAUGGUCCCCGUGGUUUGUAAUCUUGCAUCGAGUGAUUGAUCAAGUCAUGAAUGUGGAUGACUGGUUUGUAAACAUUCAUCUCGCAGUAUGUGGUCAGAUCAUAAACUUUCUUUGUUCCUUCUUGGCUCUCCUUGGCGCUAAAGUGAUUGUUGCGGUGACACAAAAACCAACUUCUCUUAUCCUGGUUAUUAAUGGUUCCCAAUUCCUCCCAACCAGUCUGACUCUCAUUCAGUCUGAAGAAGCUAAAUGAUUUCAAAUUCUUGCCUCGAUCAAUCAUAAGUAUAUUUCCAUCUUCAGAUUCCAUAAUUAACAAUUGCGUAUUAUAAAUAUUCCAAAUCUCUCUGUCUGUGUUAUCCAACUUAUUCCAAGAGAGUUUGGCCAUGUCAAAAAUAAGUAAUCCUCCCUCCAAGUCGAGCAAGUAGACCUUAUCCUCCUGAACAACUAAACUAGCAGCUGCCUCCAUUUUUCUCCCAUUUCCUGUGUAAGAAUAUUCCGUCCAUGUCUUAUCAUACACGCGGGCAAUAUACAAGGUCCUACUCGUAUGUUUGGCACACAUGGUAGCAGAGACGACAUAUUUGGGGGUACCAUCUUCCAAGCUGACUGAGAAAGAUGUCAUGGAUCCAACCAUACUUUCUUCUUGGUAAGGUAUUGUUAUCUUGGUGUUAGUGUGAGGGUUGAGCAAAACAAUUGAACAUCCUCGACCACCACCGACUCUAUAGCCCAAAUCACGAAAGAGCAACCAUCCACGUCUGGAAGAUAGGAAUGUAUUUCCAUCAUGAGAUUCGGUGAUUUUGAGAGUGAGCCUCUCCAUGGUGGACACGUUAACAAACUCACAUGCAGUAUCAAUGGAGGGUCUUCGGAGCAUGAGCCAAGGAACAUCACCCUGUCGUUGUUGUUCCUUAGGUUUCGAUGGGUAACUUAAAGAUACAGAUUCCCAAUUUUUGCAAACAAAAGCUACUCGAGCACUAUCAGCAAUGUUCAACCUAUCCUUAAUCAUCCAUAGGAGUAGUGACGGGAUGUGUGACCAUCUUUCUUCUUCGUCAUCUUUUUU